rnacentral:misc_RNA from 1 species
GAUUUGCAACUUCUUCACAUUCACGCUGAUUAUAAAACCAUAUCCCAUUAACUUCUUGGGAAGCAUUUCGAUACAACAAAUAUGGAAGCUGGAUCUCAUAUUCAAAAUCUCCCAACAGAUCCUCCACCAAAUUAUCUGUAUUUCGGCGGUUCAUAACAAUAAACUGAAACCGAGGUUGAGAACUCCUCUUGACAACAAAUAGAGAUCCUUCGAUAUCCUUCCGACUCCAUUGACUGUUAUCAAUACUGAAUUCGUACAAGGUAACAUGAGCAGCAGUGAUGAGGAUUUCUUCAAUGAAAGGAUCAAUUCUCUGAAGAACCGUCAAGUUUAGCAGCUUCGUGCUGUUCUGGUCCAGAUUCGGCAUCAAUUUCCCGUUUUGCGACAUUAUUGCACCGAAUCUGAGAACGGCAAGUUGCUGUAAGCUGAGACCCAACUUCGACUAUCACAGAAACCCUAGAAAUGCUCCAAAUUGAAGGAAGCCCAGUUUCCUUUUUUUUGGCUCUAUAUAUAUCUGAUGGGAG